rfam:Myotis lucifugus cont2.19630, whole genome shotgun sequence.
GGUGGUUCUCGGGUGAUGCACCCCAAAAUCAGGCUUCCUCCUCUCUGGUUCCUAAUGCAUCACUCGAGAACCACA